CGCGUUGGCCCAAUUGAUUGAUGGUGCUUGCACCUGAUUGAUUUUGGUCGCCAACGAGUGGCGGACGGGUGAGUAACACGUAGGUAACCUGCCCAGAAGCGGGGGACAACAUUUGGAAACAGAUGCUAAUACCGCAUAACAGCGUUGUUCGCAUGAACAACGCUUAAAAGAUGGCUUCUCGCUAUCACUUCUGGAUGGACCUGCGGUGCAUUAGCUUGUUGGUGGGGUAACGGCCUACCAAGGCGAUGAUGCAUAGCCGAGUUGAGAGACUGAUCGGCCACAAUGGGACUGAGACACGGCCCAUACUCCUACGGGAGGCAGCAGUAGGGAAUCUUCCACAAUGGGCGCAAGCCUGAUGGAGCAACACCGCGUGAGUGAAGAAGGGUUUCGGCUCGUAAAGCUCUGUUGUUAAAGAAGAACACGUAUGAGAGUAACUGUUCAUACGUUGACGGUAUUUAACCAGAAAGUCACGGCUAACUACGUGCCAGCAGCCGCGGUAAUACGUAGGUGGCAAGCGUUAUCCGGAUUUAUUGGGCGUAAAGAGAGUGCAGGCGGUUUUCUAAGUCUGAUGUGAAAGCCUUCGGCUUAACCGGAGAAGUGCAUCGGAAACUGGAUAACUUGAGUGCAGAAAGAGGGUAGUGGAACUCCAUGUGUAGCGGUGGAAUGCGUAGAUAUAUGGAAGAACACCAGUGGCGAAGGCGGCUACCUGGUCUGCAACUGACGCUGAGACUCGAAAGCAUGGGUAGCGAACAGGAUUAGAUACCCUGGUAGUCCAUGCCGUAAACGAUGAGUGCUAGGUGUUGGAGGGUUUCCGCCCUUCAGUGCCGGAGCUAACGCAUUAAGCACUCCGCCUGGGGAGUACGACCGCAAGGUUGAAACUCAAAGGAAUUGACGGGGGCCCGCACAAGCGGUGGAGCAUGUGGUUUAAUUCGAAGCUACGCGAAGAACCUUACCAGGUCUUGACAUCUUGCGCCAACCCUAGAGAUAGGGCGUUUCCUUCGGGAACGCAAUGACAGGUGGUGCAUGGUCGUCGUCAGCUCGUGUCGUGAGAUGUUGGGUUAAGUCCCGCAACGAGCGCAACCCUUGUUACUAGUUGCCAGCAUUAAGUUGGGCACUCUAGUGAGACUGCCGGUGACAAACCGGAGGAAGGUGGGGACGACGUCAGAUCAUCAUGCCCCUUAUGACCUGGGCUACACACGUGCUACAAUGGACGGUACAACGAGUCGCGAACUCGCGAGGGCAAGCAAAUCUCUUAAAACCGUUCUCAGUUCGGACUGCAGGCUGCAACUCGCCUGCACGAAGUCGGAAUCGCUAGUAAUCGCGGAUCAGCAUGCCGCGGUGAAUACGUUCCCGGGCCUUGUACACACCGCCCGUCACACCAUGAGAGUUUGUAACACCCAAAGUCGGUGGGGUAACCUUUUAGGAGCCAGCCGCCUAAGGUGGGACAGAUGAUUAGG
rnacentral:rRNA from 2 species